CACGGGAGUGGGGUCUUGGGGACCCUCAGCCCUCCUUGAGAAUCCUGAGCGUGAUGUCUGGCAGAGCCUGGAUGCUGCCCUCUCCUAAGCAGCCCUUCCCUGGUCACAUGAGCUCUGACUCCAGAGUCCCCAGUGGCUUAAGCAGCAGGGGGCUGGGGGUGGCGCAGCCUAAGAAGUCCACCACCAGGUGGUCCAGGGCUGGCAGGAGGGGCGGCGCUGGAUUAUUUGGGGCCCUCUAUCUGGGGUAAGUGGGUCCUCAGUCCUCCCUCAGCGUGUCACCUUGCCUUCUUACAGAGCCUGAGCCCGCUUCCCUCCACCGAUCUCAAGCCACCCCUGAGACCGAGAACCUCGCUUCUCUCUAACCACUAAUGUCCAAGUCAGUGGCGUCACAUCCGGGCACCUGGGCUUCCCUGGGUUGAGAGCAGGGGCAGAACUGGAUUCUGCCUGGAUUGGGAUGGGGGGUUGAUCUGAGAAACAGAGAACAGCAGCCCAAGUUUAAUUGCAAUGUUGGCAGCUACAGAGCACUUCAAACGCCUUGAACAAUAGAAUAAUAUAAUGAACCCAGAACAUCUGACACUCAGCAUCAACCACCUUCAAGACAUGGCACAUCUGGUUCCAGUUCGACGCUCACCUACUUGCAUCUCAGCUGCUGGAAUAAUGUGGAGCAAAUCUAAGACGUCAUUCCAUUUCAUCUCUAAAUACCUCAAUAUGUUUUCCUAAAAGUUAAGGACUUUAUAUUAGCCAAAAUCCCAAUACAGUUUUUAUUUCUAAAAAACUUAAAUAAAUGAUUAUCAAAAGUUCAA